rnacentral:lncRNA from 1 species
GAUGGAUGGACGGACAUACAGAAAGAUGGAGAGUCAGACAGGUAGGUAGGUAGAUAGACAGAACCAAUGCCUGAGAAAUAUAAUUUUUUUACAUGCUUCACAUAAAGUGCACACUUUCUAAUCAAAAGUCAGAAUAGCAAAAAUACCUCAUACCGCAAAAAAAAAAUUUUUUAUUUUAAAAUAUGAUAAUUUACAUUGCUUGGGAAAAAAAAGAGAAAAUAUAUGAACUUUAAAAAAAUAAUGUACAAUUUAGAAGAACAAUUGCAUUAAUCAUGGCAGAUUUUCACAAUACUAAGAUAUAACUAUGAUAGAGCUAAGAAGUCAUGGUAAGGUGCUUUUUAACUUAAAGUGCAAUAAGAGUGUAACUCUAGCAGAUGGCAGAUGCAUGCUGGGAGGUUAGAUUGUUACUAUCUUCUCACAUUAUUUUCUAACUACAAAAACAUAGAUACAGCUCGGAAAAGGCUUUUUUUUAUUUUUUUUUUUAACAAGAACUUCAACCUGUUAGUUCAUAAUUACAGUGUCAGUGAACCUUCAGCUUCCACACUCCACUUUUAGGUCACGCCAGCAGGAUGCAAUUUUAAUUACAUUUGAACUAAAAAAAAACAAAAACUGAUGUAUCCAUCUGUUCAUAGAGAAAAAAAACUUCUAGGUAAGCUGUACAAUAGAUUCACGCUGGUCAUUGAGAUAGAAAAUAAUACAUAUACUGAUGGCAACCCAGGCCAGCUGCUGCCUGCUUCUAUACAUCCUGUACAGCAAGGCAUUUACUUCUCUUAUUGCCUACAAAGCAAAUACUUUUAUUUAUCAAAGAUAAAAUCUAAUGUCUGUGUCUGAUUCAUUCAGGCAAAUGAUCUGAAUUGCUCAAAAACAAACCAGCAUGAUUUGAGAUAAACACUCAAAUCUAUAGUAGCUACAGAAGUGAAGCGCUAUAGGAUAAAAUAAAGGGUAUACACUUACCCAAAAAUAUAUAUAAGACCGAAACGAUGAAUAGACACAUAAAAGAGGAAAAAGGAAAAACCAUAUAGUGUAAAUCUAAAUAAAAGGUUUAUAUCAAAUGUAUAACACAUGUGUGUCAACUCACAUGGAUAAGAGCCUCUAGGGGACAGUCCCAACUUACAUCAGUGUUUGUGUCGUAUGCUGUUAAUAUAUACCUGUAUUCAUUUUACCCCCAUCACAAACCUUUAUAAAAUGUAAUCUCAUAUAUUUAGACCUUGCCAAAUUAUAUUGUACAGAUAGAUAUUGAAAUAUAGUGAUGGUCUCCAGUGCUAAUUACCCUAAGGGAACUUAACUUAUCUUAUCUUAUAUCUAGGAUAACCUUCUGCCUAUCCCAUUACAGGAUUAAGCUGAGUAUUUUUAAAUAUUUGCCAGAUAGCUUUAGUAAAUAUGAAAGUUGCCAGUGUGGUUCGAAUUCAGCCGUUUCCACCAGAUUGUAUGCAUAUGAACAAGACCCAGUGUUUAGUGAACAACCCUGUUAGAUGUAAAAUGUAUUAUUACAGUAAUGCUUAGGGUAUAUUUUAUAAUUUCAGUCUUCUAAAUACCACCACCAUUUAGGUUUAUUAAAGGAAAUGCUGACUAGAAAAUAACAGCUGGUAAUAUUAAGGAUUAAAAUAUGUAUUUAUUGUUUUUACGUACAUUUUAAUUUGUAAUAGUUUCUGAAUGCAUGCACCAACUUUGGUUCAAUUGUGCAUGGAAUAGUUUCACAUGCAAAUACCUCACCCAUAUCAACGUGUACUUGGGGCGCAAUCCUCUGUCACUUUCUUUAGGUCUAAAUUACCAUAGGCAGCAUCAGUCCAGGGUAUUAAAGAAUCUGUGAAAUAGGUUUAGACGAGGAGUGACAAAAAGCUGAAUGGAUGACCUUAUAGGAUAUUGCGCACUUGGGAAUCUGUCUCAUUUCUUCUGUUCAUUAGUACCAAUAUAAAGGACCUAUUUCCAGAAAUAUACUGGACUGAUCCCUUGUCUAAACAUCUGGAACUAUUAGACCAUCUUAUUUUAUUUGGACUAUAUUCAUGGUCGCCACUCUAUCACGUCUGACCCAACCACCCUAACCUUUUCCUCUUAACCUUUGACUCUCACCUCAUUCUCCAUUCCCCAUCUUCUUGGUACUCUUUGGUUAUAGUAUCUCUCAAACAGACGUACAAUGCUUUAUUGUUUUGUUGGAUUGUAUUACCUCCUUAUAAUUCACUUUGAUAUUUUGUACACCAAUUUGUGACGUGCCAAUGUUUGUCUGUAAUUUUGGUUAAAAAAAAACUAUUUUAAAAAAUGCCAUUGUGUAUUCCCAAGAAUCUCAAGGUUCCUCGGCAUUCAAGACCAACACAAAAUCAAUAAAGAUACAGAGUAAACACUGGAACAUUUACGAUAGCCUACAGUAGUUGCAGAAAAAAAAAAUUAGGACAGGAAACAUCCAAUUGAGGAAAUAUUAGUCAUUAAUGAAGAGAGACACAGACAAGGACAAGAAAGACGGAGUGGGAUUAUUCUUGUAACAUAAUGCAAGCCUAUCUAACAAACUUUUAUUUUCUGUCAGCAGUAGAUAGAUGAUGUGAAAUAUUUAUACAGUUUAAGAUUUGUGUUAGAAGGUUUUCUGUUGACCUUUCAAUGGGUCGGCUUGAUAGAUUUUCAUGGAUAUAUCUCAAAUAACUCUCUUAAAAUGUAGGUUUCGAUGGACUGUACAGAUAUUAAUGUCAGCGAUAUGCUCAGUAAAUCAUUCUGACGGGGCUCUUUUCACUACUAAGGUCCCAGAUUCCUAGCACAUCGCUUGUCUGCUAAUAAACUAGUUAAAUUGUUACAAUUUAACAUAUAAAAAACAAUUACACGGCAUGGUAAUAAGGUAUUAUUACAUGAAACUGCUUGAAUGUUUUGGUAGUAAAUAGAUACACCCUGCACCCAAAGCCACAGGUAUUAUCUGAUUAUAUAGCUACCGUAUAUUUGUACCACUGUUGCCAUUUUAUUCUUUUUUUUAUUAAUAGUCUAUGGAUUUAGAAAAUGUAAUUAUUCUCUUGUGGAAACUUGACAAUGUUUUUUAAUUAUUAGUUUUCCUAUAAUUUCUUUAUUUAAUUUUAUCAUUGUUUAUCCCCCUCUGUCAGUCAUUUCUAUUUCUACAACACCUGUUAAGCUGGUAUUUGACUUGUGAACGGUAGAAAAAAAAUUGAAAUUCCAGAAAUUUGGUGACCUUUGACACUUAUUCAUUUGGACAGAUCCAUUUGUGCAAAUAUUGUCCAUUAAAAAUAUUUGGAAAAAUGAUUCAGACCAACAAAAAAGUGCCUGCAAAGGGAAAAUCACUGAACUGUAAAAAAUAAAAUAAAUUUUCUCAUCCCUCCUGGGUGGUAUAUUUUAUUGCUCAUUCUCGGGUCCUCUACCAGUGUUUUGAGAGUCUGCACAGUAUCUUAGAUGUUGCUAGAACUGCCUUCUUUUGGACAGCAAUCUUAGAUAUCCCACCUGGAAUCUUUUGAAGCCACUACCCAAACUUGGGGUUCAUAGCCCCUAGACUUGUCAUCAGCUUUCCCUGGUUCCCUACCAUCUGACACAGACCUUGUAAAUCUGGGUAACGUCCAAGCAGCCAUGACUCUAUUGGUUUGUGUUACUCUCAUAUUAUUGAAGUGGCCAGGGUAUAUAACAUUAGGUGUCUUGCCAAAGGACAUUUACUGUUUUAGUGGAUGGACCGGUAUUCUAACCUGGAGUGUAUAUAUUAACACCAUAUGGCACUACUACUGAUGUAAUUUGAGCCUGUCCCCUAGAGGCUAUUAUCCUUGAGUUGAGUUGCAGCCAAAACGAUGCAUUCAAUCCCAAAUGUCUUAAUAACACUGGUGCUUUGUGAAUAUUCCAUUUCCUUUACUUUAUUUAGGGUUCGUAUGUGAAAGCGCUGCUUCUAAUCCGGACACUGAAUGCAUCUGGGUGAUUGUUGCAAAUUCACGUAACGCAACCCGAAAUAUGACUGUAUUUGACUUUAGUAAAUAAGAGAAUAACCAAUGAUGUCGGCCAUUUUCACUAGAUUUUGGUGUUUAGUGUACAACCCUGUUGAUAAUGGUGAAAGUAAAAGCUUAAAAGUGAACCGAGGGAAGAUGCACUCUGUACCAUAAACACUUCAAAGAGAGAAGUGAUUGUGAUCGCCAGAGGGUUUCUUUAAGUAUAUCAACCAUCAUUUUAAUCGAGAGACCUCAUAAGAAUUCUGCACCAUCAAUGCAUGAUAUACUUAUGAAAUAUCUCACAUAUGUUUUUUUAUAAGUCUUAAAUAGAAUAUAAAAAAAUAGCAUCUAGAUGUGGAUUGAUUCAAAGAAAUGUGUUUUAUAAGACCACUUUUUUUAAGCUUUGAGUUGCUAUUGAUGUUGUAAACCAUUUUUCUCACUUUAUAAAUGAUGUUGCCAUUAAGCUUUUCUUUGUUAAAUGACGUCUGUUGGUUUGUUUAGCUUCACGUUUUCUUUGCUUCGACACAAACAGUUUCUCUUAUUGACGGAGCGUUUCAUUUUCCAGGUAUGAAGUUUACAAACAAGAAUACCGUCUUUUCGAUUCAUACUAGCAAUUGUGAGAUUUGGAGAACCGCUGUCUAUGUAAAUACUUUGCAUUUGCAAUCAAUCUUUCUUUCCUUUAGAAAUGAAUUUAGGAGAAUCUGCAUAAUUGGACAUGUUUAAUAGAACUCUGAUGUAUGAUGUUGUCUACAGACUUGAAGCUGUAUGGAAUCAUGAUGAGGUGUUCAUGACUGAAAAGAAAAAAAAA